GAUGAAGAACGUAGCGAAAUGCGAUAAGUAAUGUGAAUUGCAGAAUUCAGUGAAUCAUCGAAUCUUUGAACGCACAUUGCGCCCGCCAGUAUUCUGGCGGGCAUGUCUGUUCGAGCGUCAUUUCAACCAUCAAGCCCCAGGCUUGUGUUGGGGACCUGCGGCUGCCGCAGGCCCUGAAAACCAGUGGCGGGCUCGCUGUCACACCGGGCGUAGUAGAUUUUAUCUCGCUCAGGGCGUGCUGCGGGUCCCGGCCGUUAAAAGCCUUUUUUUACCCAAGGUUGACCUCGGAUCAGGUAGGAAGACCCGCUGAACUUAAGCAUAUCAAUAAGCGGAGGA
rnacentral:misc_RNA from 1 species